UAAAUUCAAUUUUAAAGCUAUUUCUGAUAAUUAUAUAUUUUUCCGGGUCAACGUCAGUUUUGUGGCUUAUUUAAAGGCUUUCAAAUAAAACAAAAAGCAAAAUAACAUAAUUAUCAAAAAAAAAAAAAUUAUUCAUGGUUAAAAACAAAACAAAUUUUAAUUUGAAUAAAUAAAUCUAAUUUGAAAUUUUACUGAUAAUUUAAAUUUGGAUAAAGAAAUUUAAUUUCAUACUUUUACUGAUUAUAUAAUUUAUUGGUCAAACG
rnacentral:lncRNA from 1 species